UGCAAUAUAAUGUAAUGGUAACAUCUAAGAGUCAUGAUCUUAUAAUGAUAGUUCAAAUCUAUCUAUUGCAC
rnacentral:tRNA from 1 species